AGAGUUUGAUCCUGGCUCAGGACGAACGCUGGCGGCGUGCUUAACACAUGCAAGUCGAACGAUGAACCUCCUUCGGGAGGGGAUUAGUGGCGAACGGGUGAGUAACACGUGGGCAAUCUGCCCUUCACUCUGGGACAAGCCCUGGAAACGGGGUCUAAUACCGGAUAUGACACGGGGUCGCAUGAUCUCCGUGUGGAAAGCUCCGGCGGUGAAGGAUGAGCCCGCGGCCUAUCAGCUUGUUGGUGAGGUAGUGGCUCACCAAGGCGACGACGGGUAGCCGGCCUGAGAGGGCGACCGGCCACACUGGGACUGAGACACGGCCCAGACUCCUACGGGAGGCAGCAGUGGGGAAUAUUGCACAAUGGGCGAAAGCCUGAUGCAGCGACGCCGCGUGAGGGAUGACGGCCUUCGGGUUGUAAACCUCUUUCAGCAGGGAAGAAGCGAGAGUGACGGUACCUGCAGAAGAAGCGCCGGCUAACUACGUGCCAGCAGCCGCGGUAAUACGUAGGGCGCGAGCGUUGUCCGGAAUUAUUGGGCGUAAAGAGCUCGUAGGCGGCUUGUCACGUCGGAUGUGAAAGCCCGGGGCUUAACCCCGGGUCUGCAUUCGAUACGGGCAGGCUAGAGUUCGGUAGGGGAGAUCGGAAUUCCUGGUGUAGCGGUGAAAUGCGCAGAUAUCAGGAGGUGGAACGGAAAGAAGAUCUGAUAAAGUCGGAAAGGUCGAGAAGCGAAAGCGAAUCGGCCGGACCCCGCUCCAGCAGGGGGCCAGAGACGGAAACGGAUCUGGUAAGGUUGGAACCGCGAGAAAGCCGAAAGGCCGGAUCGCACCGGCGAAAAUCAGGGCCGAAAGGAUCUGAUAGAGUCGGAGACGCAAGACCGAAGGGAAGCGCCCGGAGAGCCUGGUGAAACAGGCACAAAGGAAGCGUCCGUUCCUUGAGAACUCAACAGUGUGCCAAAAGUCAACGCCAGAUAUGUUGAUACCCCGUCUCCAUCAUGGAGAUGAGGUUCCUUUGAAAAGUCCUCCCAAGCUUGGGAGGCGCACAGCGAGGACGCUGUGAACCGUGAGGAUUAUUCCUCCUCAUGGUUCCGCUCAACGCGAGUGUUUUUGCCGGAUUA
rnacentral:rRNA from 1 species